rnacentral:rRNA from 1 species
AAUGAUGGGAAUUUAAACCUCUUCCAGAGUAUCAAUUGGAGGGCAAGUCUGGUGCCAGCAGCCGCGGUAAUUCCAGCUCCAAUAGCGUAUAUUAAACUUGUUGCAGUUAAAAAGCUCGUAGUUGAAUUUCUGCUGCAUCGUGGUUCUUCGCUAUGUCGAGUGGGCCUCGUUGUGGCUUAGUUGGGGCAUGUUUUCAUGACUCGACGUUUACUUUAAGAAAAUUAGAGUGCUUAAAGCAGGCUUUUGCCUU